GAGCUCCAGCUGAUCUCUGUCCUGCGUCUUCCACAGCCAUCUCCAGUGUGUCCACAGCAAGCACUGCAGAACAUCUUCAUUCAGGACUGCAGCAGCAGAAAGGGAUCACGGAAAAGGGGGCUGCAGAGACGAUGGUGAGGUCGGCACCACUCCAUGUUCAAAGGAGCGAGCAGCUUGCAGGUGUCCGGAACCCAGGGGCCUGGUGGCAGACGUCUGUGAGGUCUCCGUUGACAGACCCCGCAGGCCGGGGCAGCCCGUGCCAUCCCUGAGCCAGCUUUCCGGGAGCGACCACAGAAUGCCUCCGGGCACCCCAGGGCAGUCAGGGGGUCUCCCUGUCAUAUGCCACUUUACUCCUAAUGAAAAAAAAGAAGGAAAGACACAGGAAACAGAAAUGCUAUACAGGUGUGGUCCGGGAGGUGGCGCAGUGGAUACAGCAUUGGACUCUCAAGCAUGAGGUCCUGAGUUUGAUCCCCGGCAACACAUGUACCAGGGCGA